AACUAGAACAAUUAAUUGAGACUAAUCGCAAAUAACCUGAAACUGAGGAGGUUCUAUAUAAGGAAGAAUUAAAACAGGUAUAAAAUGCAUCUGAUCUUUAAUUGCAGGUGGGACCAUGAAGAUUUUUUGGUACAGAUUGCAGGUUGUUGCUCAUUAUUGAAGUGUGCUCAUAAAGGCAAAAGCUAGAUAGGGGGUCUAUGAUUUGGUUUGUGUUUUAAUAAUUUAGGUAUGGCAAAAUUAAAGGUUUCUAGACAAUUUAGGGAACGAGUGAGAAGCAUAAUUAGAUGAUCAGAAACUGAGUACUACACUCAAGUUAGAAUUAAGAAUGCCCAAUUUGUUUGAGGUCUGUGGUUCAUUUUUAUACACACAUUGCAAAUGUGCUUAUAAGGAGCUGGCACUUAGUCUGUGAAGGUCAAAAGCUUCAUCCGACAACGGAUCGGAUUGAUAUAUUGGAGCUAUUGACUUCACGUGCAGAGGGUUAAGUGCAUGCACGCUUACACACAUAAGCAUGGCAUAGGAUUGGAAUAAACAAAGUCAACAACAUUAGGUUAGGAGAGCCAGCGCAGGAGAGGUGUUGGCUUUCUGUCUCUUGCAGAGAAGGGAACAGACACCAGACGGGGACACGGAGAUAUGGGGACCCUCCACAGCAACGGGGGUCAAGUGUCAUGGCCUUGGGGCUCCUUGAGAAGAUGGAUCCCAUAACCACAGCGAUAACCAGGAAGGGGUUGGCGAAAACUAGGAACACCAGAGACCAACGAGAUCUGUGUAACGACUGAAGGGUGGUCUAACCCCGGAUGUCGAAGAAAGAAGAAUCUGAGGGCGUUUCUUCACUCCAAGAGGAGGUGGUAAAGGGGCCUGAAGCGUGUCAGGCUGAAACUCGAGUCUGAAGCUAAAAGAACAGCUGGGUUGUGGGAAAAUUGGAAAACAACGGAGGUGUUGGGGUUGAUAAGUGUCAUAACGUGUUUGUUUGUUUGGAGACAAAUCCUGGUGUGAGUUGGGCUGGCAAGCCAGCCCAAAAAGGAGGAAUGUGACCAGGAGAUAUUUUAUUUUGUAUUCUUAUGAUCACAGUUAGAAUCAGAAGUAUCAAUCAUUAAUCAUUUACCAUUGUUGAAUCUGUUGACAGUAUAAUCUUUUAAUUACAUCUGUGUUACUCUGAGCAAAUAUUAAUGCACACUGACUGUUUAUAUAAAGUUGUUGCACUUUAGUGCAGUCACACCAGUCAGACCCACCAGUCCUGUUGGGCCCGGCCCGCCUGCGUGUAGUUCUGCACGUACGCCGGCCUGUAAUCACAUGCACGCACUUAUGUAACACACACGCACGUUCACCUACACACUUAGUAAUAAUAGGAGGGUCGUCUGAGGACAGUUUUCUGAUAGAUACACUUUCACAAAAUGCACAAUGUACUACACACUUGUUUUUCUCUAACAACUGGCAGUUGAUGUCCAUAUUAGGUAAACUCUCUGAACAGGCCCAAACUGUUAUCAUUUCCAGUAAGGUCUGACUGUGUGACGUCAUCAUGGCUUAUAUAAGGAGGGGGAGCUGUCCACUCUUUGGAGAUCUGUGGCUGUACGCUUGUCUUCCCAUGCUUCUGUCUUAGAAGUGUGCAAUAAAAUCACUAUGUUUGUCACCUACA